AUUAUGUGAUCAAAAGAUCCCUAAUAAAGCGAAAGUAAGUUCUAUAUACUGAGGUCAAACCAACUAUAUUGUGUGAGAGUGAAUGUUAGGCAUCUAUGGUACUGCAUACCCUCAAGGGUGGCAGAAAUGUUGAUUGUAAGAUGGAUUCUGGCAACACAAUAAUAAUAGAUAAGAUUAUAAAUAAAUACACCCACCAGAGAAUACAUGUGGCACAUAUUGAAAAUAAAAUGAGA
rnacentral:misc_RNA from 1 species